AACGAACGCUGGCGGCAUGCCUAACACAUGCAAGUCGAACGAGACCUUCGGGUCUAGUGGCGCACGGGUGCGUAACGCGUGGGAAUCUGCCCUUGGGUUCGGGAUAACAGUUGGAAACGACUGCUAAUACCGGAUGAUGACUUCGGUCCAAAGAUUUAUCGCCCAGGGAUGAGCCCGCGUAGGAUUAGCUAGUUGGUGAGGUAAAGGCUCACCAAGGCGACGAUCCUUAGCUGGUCUGAGAGGAUGAUCAGCCACACUGGGACUGAGACACGGCCCAGACUCCUACGGGAGGCAGCAGUGGGGAAUAUUGGACAAUGGGCGAAAGCCUGAUCCAGCAAUGCCGCGUGAGUGAUGAAGGCCUUAGGGUUGUAAAGCUCUUUUACCCGGGAUGAUAAUGACAGUACCGGGAGAAUAAGCCCCGGCUAACUCCGUGCCAGCCGCCGCCGUAA
rnacentral:rRNA from 1 species